rnacentral:rRNA from 1 species
CCUACGGGGGGCUGCAGUGGGGAAUAUUGGACAAUGGGGGCAACCCUGAUCCAGCCAUGCCGCGUGUGUGAAGAAGGCCCUCGGGUUGUAAAGCACUUUCAGUGAGGAAGAACGCCUGGUGGUUAAUACCCAUCAGGAAAGACAUCACUCACAGAAGAAGCACCGGCUAACUCCGUGCCAGUAGCCGCGGUAAUACGGAGGGUGCGAGCGUUAAUCGGAAUUACUGGGCGUAAAGCGCGCGUAGGUGGCUUGAUAAGCCGGUUGUGAAAGCCCCGGGCUCAACCUGGGAACAGCAUCCGGAACUGUCAAGCUAGAGUGCAGGAGAGGAAGGUAGAAUUCCCGGUGUAGCGGUGAAAUGCGUAGAGAUCGGGAGGAAUACCAGUGGCGAAGGCGGCCUUCUGGACUGACACUGACACUGAGGUGCGAAAGCGUGGGUAGCAAACAGGAUUAGAUACCCCGGUAGUC